rnacentral:rRNA from 1 species
AGCUCCAAUAGCGUAUAUUAAAGUUGUUGCAGUUAAAAAGCUCGUAGUUGGAUUUCUGGUGGGAGCGUCCGGUCCGGCCUGCAAGGGUUGUGCACUGGUGGCGUCUCCGGCCACUUUAACACCGAACAAUACUGGCAUUAAGUUGUCGGUGUUGGGAGGUGUUUCAUUUACUGUGAAAAAAUUAGAGUGUUUAAAGCAGGCAAUCGCUGUGAAUACAUUAGCAUGGAAUAAUAAGAUAGGACUUUGGUGCUAUUUUGUUGGUUUGCACACCAAGGUAAUGAUUAACAGGGACAGUUGGGGGUAUUCAUAUUUAGAUGUCAGAGGUGAAAUUCUUGGAUUUUCUAAAGAUGAACUACUGCGAAAGCAUUUACCAAGGAUGUUUUCA